AAACCGAACUGAUUGAACCGAAUUGACUCGAUUUGGUUCGAUUUUUCGAUUUGAACCAAAUUCUGCUUAGCCCUACCUAAUCCCAUCCAACCAAAGAAUAUACAUAUCAUUAUAACUAUAUAAUUAAGUUAUGAAAGAAUAAGUUAUAAACUAUGUUCAAGAAUACAUCUCAUUGGCUUUUAUUUUUAUAUUAAUAAUUACACAUUAAUAAAUUUGAAUUAGCAAAAAUUAAGUUAAUUAUAAUUGGUUUUCUAUUCUAAUAGUAAAAAUGAGAUUAUUUUGAAGUAAAUGUUAGUAUUUGAAAUCAAAUAUUAGUAUUUGAACUCAAGUGUAUGUAAG
rnacentral:misc_RNA from 1 species